GUACCUGCGGGCACAGCGGCGUCAGGGGGGUCCCCGCGCCCGUCCCCGCCGGCAGCGCCCCGCACUCACGUGGACUCCACCAGGCUGAAGCACUUGCCGGAGAGCCUGAAGAGGUGCGCGGGCCCUGGAAGAGAGCGCGACAGCCGAGUCCGGCGGGGGCGCCCGCGGCUGGGACUCGGGACAGGAGCACCGGGGCCCACUGAAGCGACCUCCGAGGGCGACAGCGGGCACCCUGCAGCUGGCGGGGGCCUCCGUCCGGCCUCGCGCUCGGGCAGAAAGAAGAGGGGAACUCCAAGGAGGACAGGCCCCGACCCUCGGCAGACACCCAAGGGCGACGAGAACUGAGGCCCGUCGGGGGACCCAGCCUGCAGCCUGGAAGGCGGCGCAGUGAGGGACGCGGCCGUCAACCCACCCGCCAGGCGGACGGGGGGCGGCAGAGGGGACCCGGUCCCCACAGGGUGCCCUGCCCUUGGAACGGUGAAGGCGAAGUCACGGCUGCGGCACAGAGCCGGGAUGCUUGCCGUCCCGACCUUGUCAGUCUACCGAAUGUGGGAGGUGCAUCACAAAACCAUCACGCGUCUUUGCUGGUGGGUCCCCGGCGUCUGAGGAGGUGAGCCUGAGACGGACAGCAGAGCUGGGGGGGGGACACUGAUUUUGUCCGUGACUCAAACUGACGAGAAACUGCAAUCAGAUCUGAAUAACCUGAUGUUACGAACCCCCAGAGUGACACAGAGGGAAAGCAGCGUCACAAGGGAGGAAACGAGGGACGAGAUACACGGUUUCCUGGGAGUCCUUCCUUAUCGACACGUCCAAGUGAAGGAAUUAACUAUCCAUCCGGUCAAAAGGCACAGGCCGGCCAAGGGGAGGAGACCCCUCAGAGAGGCUCCUGUUAGCUGUAAAAGUCAGGAGAAAGAGGGCCGGGGCGGCCACACUGCCACCAGAGCGACCGUAUGCCACAAACGGUCAGGAGAGACCAUGGGUGUUCUGUUCUGAACAAACCUAGUAGGACUAAAACGCCACUUUCUGAUCACAACGGAAACCAGAAAUCAACAGCAGAAGCAGGAAAUGCACAGAUCCAGAGUAAUUACACUCAGGGAAAUCAGGAAAUACUCGAGACAGAGAGCAGGAGGCUCAGAGCCCAGGUGCUGAGAGGGAGCCGGGCGUCUCCGGCACGUUCAAGUACGCGCUCACGCCCAUGACCUAGCUCUCUCACACUCAGCACUAAAACGAGCACACGAGACACAAAGCUGGCAGAAGAAAGAAAACGAAAAGCAGUAAAAGCCAACACUCCUUUAAAAAGCUCCCCAAGAUCCUAAGUGUUUCGCUAGACUGACUAAAACACACACACGAGCGCUGAAACCCCUAAAGCCAGGCAGGAACGUGGGAAAGCUGCCAGUUUGGCUGAAAGACGGCUACCAGAAUACUGAACGAGCCGGCCGCCAACCGGUCGAUCACCUAUGCGAAACGGGCAGUUCCUAGGAAUGCGCCAUCUAUCAGUCCUUCUCAAGGGUCCCCAAGCCACGGAAGAGCGGACCACACGCUGCUUCACGGUGUGGGGCCAGCGUCACCCCGAACCCUAAGUCAACAAGUCACAAGGAAACCACGGUCCAAUAUCCACUCCGAACAGGAGUGCAAAAAACCCUCCACGAAACACCAGCAGACUGAUUGCAACGACGCACUGAAAGGUUCCUACGUCGUCACCAAGUGGGGUUGAUUCCUAGAACGUGAGGAUGGCUCAAAAUACAACAAUCACGGUAACAACACGAUCCACUACCAGACCCAGGGGGGACCCCACGGCCACGCGACUGUUGCAGAAAAAGCACCUGACAAAAUUCAACCCUCUUUCAUGGCACGAAGCCUCCACAACCAAGGAAACGAACGAAACUGCCACCAACGCAGAAGCCGUAUGGGCCGACCCCACGGCUGACCUCAGACGGAACGUGGGCAACACCCAGCGCGUUCCUCCUCCCGUCGGGCGCUCUUGGCCGUCGACGCCGCACUCAAGUUCUACCACAGCGAUCAGGCGAGAAAGAAAACGCAUCCAAACUGGAAAGGAAGAAAGAACUACGUGGCCACGUUAGCAGACGACAUGGUCGCGUACGUAGAAAACCCUAGUGGGGACUCCUGGGCGACUCGGUCGGAUCAGUGUCUGACCCUUGAUUUCAGCUCAGGUCACGAUCUCACGGUUUGUGGGACCGAGCCCUGCGUCAGGCUUUGUGGUGACAGCAAGGAACCUGCUUGGGACACUCUGCACGCCUCCUUCCUCCCCAAAAUAAACAAAAAGGGAAAAGAAAGAAAAGCAAACCCUAGAGUCCACAAAAAUCUGUGAGCAAAGGGGCAAGAUACCAAGUUGACACUGAAGAACGAGGUGUGUUUUUCUACACGGACAACAACCCAAAAAGGAAAUCUGAGACAACGAUUCCAUUUAUAAGGGUACCAAAAAAUACAUCUAUUUUGGAAUAAACCGAAGAGGCAAAAUACUUGUACAGAGAAAACUACAAGAUAGCACCUAGAAAAUGAAGCAUGUAAAUAAAUGAAAUAAAUGGAGAGAGACCCUGUGUUCAUGGAUAGGACGAUUUAAUACUAAAAUGUGAAUACUCUCCUAACUAACCUAAUUGAGGGCAAUCCAUAUCAAAAUCCCAGGAACUUUUUUUUUUUUUUUUUUUUUUACAGAAAUAGUAAAACCCAUCCUAAAAUUAAAACAGAA